UACGGGUUGAAGCAUGACCGUAAGGACAUGUGGACAGUAUGGGAGUGAGAAUGUUGGCAUGAGUAGCGAGAUGUGGGUGAGAAUCCCACAGGCCGUAAACCCAAGGUUUCCAGGGGAAGGUUCGUCCGCCCUGGGUUAGUCGGGACCUAAGCUGAGGCCGAAAGGCGUAGGUGAUGGACAACAGGUUGAUAUUCCUGUACUACCGAU
rnacentral:rRNA from 1 species